CUCUUCCUCUUUCUCUUCCUCUUCCUCUUUCUCUUAAAACACACCCAGAAAGAGAAAGAGGCGACAGAGAUGUGCAUUGUCCCUUUAAGUUUACUGACCCCACUUCAAGUACAUUGCCCUUGUAAGUAGACCAGGAAGUCCAGA
rnacentral:miRNA from 1 species